rnacentral:rRNA from 1 species
UACAGAGGGGGCAAGCGUUGUUCGGAAUUACUGGGCGUAAAGGGCGCGUAGGCGGCCUUCUAAGUCGAACGUGAAAUCCCCGGGCUCAACCCGGGAACUGCGUCCGAUACUGGAAGGCUUGAAUCCGGGAGAGGGAUGCGGAAUUCCAGGUGUAGCGGUGAAAUGCGUAGAUAUCUGGAGGAACACCGGUGGCGAAGGCGGCAUCCUGGACCGAGACUGACGCUGAGGAGCGAAAGCCAGGGGAGCAAACGGG